rnacentral:pre_miRNA from 1 species
AUAUGCUUGGCUCCUUGUACGCCACCUGUUACAACCAAUCUCACAGCCAGAUUGGUGUCGUCAUGUGGCAUACAGGGAGCCAGGCACAU